rnacentral:rRNA from 1 species
GUAGGUGGCAAGCGUUGUCCGGAAUUAUUGGGCGUAAAGCGCGCGCAGGCGGUUCUUUAAGUCUGAUGUGAAAGCCCACGGCUCAACCGUGGAGGGUCAUUGGAAACUGGAGAACUUGAGUACAGAAGAGGAAAGCGGAAUUCCACGUGUAGCGGUGAAAUGCGUAGAGAUGUGGAGGAACACCAGUGGCGAAGGCGGCUUUCUGGUCUGUAACUGACGCUGAGGCGCGAAAGCGUGGGGGGAGCAAACAGGAUUAGAUACCCUGGUAGUCCACGCCGUAAACGAUGAGUGAUAAGUGUUAGGGGGUUUCCGCCCCUUAGUGCUGCAGCUAACGCAUUAAGCACUCCGCCUGGGAGUACGGCCGCAAGGCUG